rnacentral:lncRNA from 1 species
UUUCUAAGCCACUGUUUUUUUUUUAAAUUAUUUUAGAUUGGGCUUUUAUUAAUAAGAUAAAACAUCUGUACAAAAUAAAAACAUAUACCUAUUAUCCUAAGAAAAACGGCCCAAGAUUUCAGAUGGCCAAAGUUAAACAAAUAUCUAGAUAUUAUUAAAGAAUACUCUAGAAACGACACUUAAUGCGCCGAACCAUUGCCCAAUCAGAAUUUGAUGAAAUUGUCUUCUCCUCUUUCUAUCAUUUCAUUGCCCAGUUUACGAUUUCAUUUUUCAAAACUUUCCUUCUGAAACAUUUCAUUUUCUUUUUUGUUUUGAAACUUUCUCUCUUCCAUUCUUCAUCUCCUAAAGCUUUCCUAAUCUGGUUCACAUACCCAAUCGUACCUUUUUUGCUCUUCGGCAUAGUCAGGGACCUCCAUUUCCAGGUAUAUCUCCUUUUUCCUUCUUAGAGUUUCUGUUGCAAGAAUAUGUGCAAGAUUAUUUGCAGUUCUUGGUGUAUGUUGGAAUCUGAUAUUAUUGGAGCCACUUAUUUUCUGUUGGAUAUCAUAAAUAUAUGCCCCUACCAGUGAUCGAUCUUGACCCUUUAUGUUGCAUUUCUUUAUUAUUGCGAAGGAAUCUCCUUCAAAGAUGAUUGACUGCCAUCCAUUUUCGACUCCUAUUUGAACUGCUUUCCAACACGCUAUUGCUUCAGCAGCAAAUGCAGAGGUAAUGUCAUUGUGGAUCUCUGAACAGGAUAAAAGAACUUUUCCUUCCGCAUCUCUGGCCAUAAUACCUGAAGCUGAACGGUUCUGACUCUCAUUGUAUGCACUGUCGAAGUUAAUCUUGAUGAACUCACAAUGUGGGUGCCUCCAUCUUUUGUUUUCUGUUAUUAUUACCGAUUUUCUUUUUUCGAAACCAGUAAGCUCAGUAAUGUAGUUACUGAUGAAGUUUGCAAUUUCUUUUCCGUUACUGACUUUUUCCUCGUGUAUUCUUCUGUUUCGAUCUCCCCAUAUGGCCCAAAGUGCGUAGCAGAAAAGGCGACCUUGACAAGGGGUGAGCUGUUCAAACACCCAGGUAAGCCACUGUACGAAGUCCAUGCUCUGGUUCAUUAUAAUAUUCUGAAGUGAUAGUUGUAAUAGGCCCAUUUGCCCGGCCCGUAAACCAAAUCAAAAUAUAAACAAAAUAAAAAUUAAUAACAGUCCAGAAAUAGUCCAUAUACCUAGGCCCAAAUUGUUUUUAACCCACUAGCCUAUCCCAAUUUCCUCAAUCCAGUUAGCCUAACACUUAACCCGGACCCAAGGCAUAACGCAGCCCAAAACAAAAAUCAGAAGCAAGAAACACUAGAAAACCCUGGGCGCUGCAUGACUGCACAGCCAGCACACUCCCCUCUCGUGCGUGUGCCACCACACCUUCGAGCCGCUCCUCACACGCGCCUCUGUACGAUCAUGUACCUACAAAUGACAAAAGAAAUAAGCAACAAAACAGAGAAAAGGGGCAACAGAGGGGAUGGGGAGAGGAUUUUUCUUUUUAUUUUCUUUUUUUUUUUUAUUUUCUUUGUAAUGCUGGCCAUAAAAAAGGGCCAUUCGAAUAUUGUAAAGGACCACGCAUUCAGAAUAGAAAAAAAGGGUGAUUUUGAAUCCCACUUUCGCUGGUUUCUGUUUUCUUUUUAUUUUCCUUCGUUCUUCUUCUUUACUGUGGUUCGUUAAUAGUAUGAAACAAAAGGCAAAGAGAGAGGAGGAAGAGAAAUUCACCUGGUAGCCGAGACGUCGUUCACUCCGUCGCAAUCGGAGUCGGGCGAGGGAUUGGGGCCUCCAAGCGUUGGUUUGCUGAGCGGCGUUGGAGAAGAGUUACUUUUUUUUCUUCUCGUUUUUUUUAUCUUUUGUCGAUUCCUUUUUUUUCUUUCCUUUCUUUUCUUUUUAUUUAUUGUUUGCAAAACAGAAACGAAGGGAGAGGAGGAAGGGGACCCUUACCUUCGUGGGUGCGUCGAUGAAGCCUUCUUCUCCUCGACACGAAUCGGAGUCGAAUGGGAAGAGGCCUUAGAUUUGAAAUGGCAGAGAAAGGGAAAAAACGGAGGCGGCGUUCACCUCUCUUUGCAAUUUUAAACCCCCGAAUUUUAUUCAGAUUUUAAUUUAACGCUUUUAUAAAUUUUACUUCAUUUAAAUUUUUAUAUUUAUGAUUCCCUUUUUAUCAAUUUAUAUUUUAUUUAUUUCAUUUCAUUUUACUAUUCAUAUUAAAAUGUUUGAUAUUAUCUACGUUAAGUUAUUUCAUAUAUUACCUAUUUAAAUUGCUUUCUACGCUAUUUUAUUAAAUGUUUUACAUGUGUUAUUUCUUUAGAUUUCAGAUCAUUUCCUUUAAAUUGUCUUGUGCAACGUUUGUUUAAAUUGUUUGAAAGUGUUUAUUGUAAUCUAUUAUAUGUUCUAGUUAUGUUAAAUUGUGCAUCGUUAAUUUUGAAUAUCUUGCAUUAUUCAUUUUAAAUCCUUAUUAUUUACCCCAAAUUGUUGUCUAAUUAAUGGGUCUUUAUUUAUCAAUGAUUGUAUUUGGAUGAUGAAUAUUGUGAGACUAUUGCUAUUGUGUGCACUUUAGUUCGCUUAUUUGCUUACAUAUCAUUGGCAUCCACUUGCAUAAAUAUUGUAUUCGUAUAUUGUUGUUCCGUGCAUGCUACUAUAUUUUAUUUCAUGUCAUUGCAUCGUGGAUGUGCCAACGAUUUUUGUUUGAUAUAAUCCACGUUAUUUUAUCCCCAAACAAAAUAAAUGUAUGCCUUUAAGUGUUAUACUCGCAACUAUUCAAGAAUAAAAUUUCGAAAACAAGGCCAUAUUUUGCGUUUUGGCAAUUCGAGAAAACCGUACCCUAACUUACGGGGUAUCGAUUUCUCGUUUAACUUAAAUAGUAAAAUAUCCUUUUAAAUUAUGACUUUUGAAUAAGCAAAAUUUCAUGUUUAGAUUCGAGAGGAUUGAGCCCUAACGUAUUGGGUUUCGAUUUUCUUCGUUGAAUCUAAAUGGUCGAAAACGCUCUUUAAUUAAAAAAACAUAAAUAAAAAGCUCAUUCUCGAGAAUUCGAUGCGUGGUGUCCUAACGCAUUGGAUAUGUCAUAUCAUUUUCUCGAGAUGAGGAUUUUUCUAACAAAUGAGAAUAAAGGCAAUAUUUGAUAUUUAGGAAUUUUGUGAAAUUGAACCCUAACUUACUGGGUUUUGAUUUUCUCAUUUGACCCAAAUAAUCAAAUAUCCUUCUCAAAUGCAUGGGUUUUAAAAGUUAAAAGAUAAACUUAAUUUUGAAGAUUAAAAAUGUUGCGCCCUAAGUCACUGGGUGUGACUUUUUAUUUAUUUGAAAUAAGAGUAUUUUAUUAUUCAAUUUAUUCAAGUUAAAAGGAUCGUAUUUUAAAAUAUUUUCAAAAUUUUGACAUUAAGACAUUAAACAAUCAAUUCGGUACCAAUUUUGGGUGUCACGAGGGUGCUAACCCUUCCUCGUGCGUAACCGACUCCCGAACUUGUUUUCUCAAAUCUCGCAGACCUAAAAUUUAUUUUUCAAUGGUAAACCGGUCACACCUUAAUAAAAGAUCGAUGGCAACUCCCAUCUUAUUGUCAAAGUCGAUCCCAAUUUUUUCAAAAUUUAAAAGUGGUUUCGACAGCUUGGCGACUCCAUUAGGGAAGCAUUUAGAGAGUCAAACCGUAAAAUUGAUUGUUUCUUGUCUUAUUAUCGAAAAUUGAAAAUUUGAUUUGAAAAAUUACGAUCCUCUCUUUGCAUUUGUUUGUAUAAUUACUGUUUUAUACCUUGGCAUCAUAUUGCAUAAAGACUUUUAGUCUUUCCCUUUUAAGUGGGUGUGAGAAGCUACUCCUUCGUGAGGUUUUCACCUCCGUGCAGGAUAGUGGAUCACUUUCGGAAUACAUCCGUACCUAUGUCUUCGUGAGAUUUUCAUCUCCGUGCAGCUAUAGGGAAAUGUAUUCCUCUAAACCGAACUCGGUCUGUAUGAGCCUAUAAUGGGUGAAGAUCGAGGAAUUUGCUGGUUCGGGUACCUUGACUUUAGAGCCAAACUACAUGUAGAAGACCUUAGGGACCCAUCUUAGGUAGAGCCACUCCAAAUCCCUAGUAGUCACCCAAUUAGGUACUUUUGUUUUCCUUGUUUACUUUUGUUUUGUACUAACCCCUCUUAUUGUGUUUUGAUUGUGAUUGCAUUGCAUUUGCAUCUUAGGAAGGAGAUAUUGAUUCAAGUUCGAUUACUAAAUUAGAAAGCUUGUCAUGGAAUACGGAUUCCUUGAUAAAGUGGAAAACAAUACGACUGCCUGAAUAUAUUCUGAGAAACACAAGAAGGGUGAUGAAGAGUUCGUGACCUUUACUUUGUGGCCUAAGGGUGCGAGAUGAUUGUCCAAGAGCCAUCGACGUUUCAACUCCCUUAAAGAAGCUGACGAGCUUUAUGAAGAUGGGCAAAUGAUGGAUCGCGACCAAGAUCAAGAAAAGGAUCUAGCAGUGGCAUCUAUUGGAAAUUGGUGAGAUUAUCUCAAAUAUGCGGACGAAGAAAAAGAUCGAUGUUGUUUCUUGGAAUAUGAGGGUGAGGCCGUACAUGUAUCCGUUUUAUGUAAAGAAAUUUAUCUUCUAGAAAAGUUUUCUAAAUGUAAUUGAAUCAGAAUCAACGUCUCUUUAGGCAUCCAUUUCAUGCAUUUGCAUUACAUAACAUCAUAUGCAUUAAAAUCUAUUGAAAGAGUCUAAUCGAGUAAAUCUAUUUCAGCUAACCUGAAAAACCAACCAACCCAACACCCUCACUGUAUCCAAGCAAAGACUAAAGAAAUGGAAUAAAGGUUAGAGAAAUUAGAGCGAAUGCAAAUACCGAUGCUAGAGCAACUGACCAAAUUUCAACAGGAAAUGAGAGACCAGAUGCUAAAAUUGCAAAGAACUAUGAUAAGCCAGUUCAACCGAUUGCUAGCUGAAAGUCAAAAGAAGUGAAAGACCCGGUGGUUUACUUUAGGGUUGAUAAUGAGGAUAUUGCCUAUUCCUUAGGUUGUACUCCGACAAGUGUCCAGGUCCAGCCAGAUGGGCGCCUAUAAGGGGCACUCUUUACUAUCGGAUCCUAAUAUUAUCAGACUGGUACAUCGACACUAGUGAAUUACCUGACAGGCCCAAGAUCCUAUUUGAGGAACAAUUUAGCUAAUCCUGUUGCUAAUUUAGUAGAAAUAAAGCAGAUGAGGGUAGAGUACCCAGAUACUAUAAAGGCCACAAGGAAAAAGGGGAAUAAAAGGGAUAAUGCCGGCGGAUAUAACAAGGGCCACUCAAAACCAAUCACUGUGGGCAGGCCAAAGACGGAAACCACCAACCAUCAGAGCCCUUUAAAGCAAGAAUCUGGAGUGAAACCAGGUACUGAGAAGCUCCAGUUCACACCAAUUCCGAUGUCAUAUAAGGAGCGCUAUCAAAGCUUGUUCGAUGCGCAUGUUGUUGCUCCUCAUUACUUGACCCCUUUACAACCUCCUUAUCCCAAAUGGUAUGAUAUAAAUGCACAAUGUGACUAUCAUGCGGGAAUUUCAGGGCACUCAGUAGAGAAUUGCAUUGCCUUCAAAAAACUAGUUGAAAGACUGAUCAAUAUAGGUGUUGUCAAAUUUGAUGAUUCAUCCAGUGCAGAAAAUACGCUGCCCAAUCAUAUUGAUGACGAGGUGAAUGUGGUGUACGAAGAGGAGUUGGGAAAUUUUUACAUCAACGACGUGUUUGAAGACACAAAUGAAAAGGGACCUUGUUAGAUGUCCGCCCUUAUAAAUUUGGGAGCGUUCUAAGCAAUUGGCUUGCGAAAGAAAUCCCUAUAGUUUUUAGAGCUUAUCUAGAGUAAUGUUCAGAACAUUUUUGUUGUUUUUAGCCUAAAAAUGAUAGAAAUUCCUUUGUGGAAAAGGCUCAUGUCUGAACGUUAUUAUUCUAAUGAAAUACAUCUUUGCGAUCACUUUUGAGCCAAUGGUAUUUCAUUCUUUUUGAAUAAUUAUUUCUGAUUAUUUUAUUCUUUUAGACUUUCUUCCACAUCAUUCAUUCAUUCAUAAUCAUAUUGUAUAAAUAAUUAUUCAUAAAUUUAUACAUUCUUUUGUAUAUUAUUCGGUACUUAUUAUGGGUCCCCAAAUAUCAAUUACGUGAAUGACUCUCCUACAGACCCAGAUUUUUUUGAGUAGGGCAUGUGUUUGGAGGGAUCUCAUGACUUUGAAAAUGACAAAGAUUGUAGCUUAUCUCUGGACUUGUUGAAGAUGGUUGAACAAGAGGAUAGACAGAUUCUACCUCACGAGGAACCAUUAGAAAUUGUGGGCUUGGUGAAGAUUAAAAUUGACCUGACCUCAAAGACGAAGUAACACCUUGUUGAGUGACCUCUAGGGUUCAAAGAUGUUUUUGUAUGAUCAUGCCAGGAUAUGCCCGGGUUAAACGCUGGUAAUGAAAUCUGUACAACAGCACGAUGUCGAAAUUUGUAGUAUGAACGAUGUAAUUCUUUACUAGGGCAAUGCCUCUCUCGCUGAUUCAGCAUAGCUUUGCCCAUUUGAAGCUGAGUUUCCAUCCCUUUAAGAUGUUGGAUUUUAUCCUGAUUAAAGAGGAAGAUCCAAAGUUUUCAGUCGUAGUGUCACCCUAAAAGGCUCUAUGAAGGAAGUCCGAUAUCAAAGAAGAUUCUUCGAAAGGGAUAACGAGGACUUGCCUAACCCUAUGAGCUCAAAAAAAAUCAAAAUCAAAAUAAAUAAAAAAAGAAGAAAAAUAAAAAAUAUCAAGGUUAAAAUGAAAAUGAAAAAAGAGAGAAGAAAAAAAGAAAAAUGAGAGAGUAAAGAAGAGGCCAAAGUGAAAACCCGCAAAGGGCGCUUUGUGACCAAAGGUGGUUUUGAGUUCAAAAACCCGAAAAGGUCGACACAAAUUUUAAGCAAAAUGGUGCAUGAACAUCACCAUAUCGAAGACUUCUAAUGGGCAUUGCUUCACUAUUGAGAUCAUUAAUUACUUCAUCAAAUGGAUAGAGGCUACUGCAUGCGUCAAUGUCAUCAUAUGUCGAUAUAGAAUUCCAGAGAGGAUGGUAUUGGAAAAUGCAUUGAACUUGAAUGACAACACGCUAGCUGAGGGCUGUAAUCAAUUCAAAAUCAAACACCACGGUUUGUCACUGUAUUGCAAGACAAUGAAUUUAAAAAAAAGAUGAAAAAUGAAAAUGAAAAAAUGAAAAAGUAAAAAUGGAUAGGCUAAGGGGAAAACCCGCAAAGGGCACCUUAGGCCAAAGGGGAUUUGAGUUGAAAACCCGAAAAGGGCGGCUCAAAUAUUAAUCAGAAUGGGGCAUGAAGUGAUUAGAGCAACUCGAAUCUUCAAGCAUGUGGUAAUCUUGUUAUACUUGAAUCAACAGAAAGGGUAGGCGACAUCUUGGGGCAUCGGCAAAGCACUGUAGAUCUCCUAAACACAUGUCAAACUCAAAAGGGUCUUCAGAAAAUUUGUACAGAGAAGUUCAAGCUGCGAUAUAUGGGGCACCCAAUUCUCAUAUUAUUUGUUAUUCUUGGAAUACUUUUUUCUUUUCCAAGAUAUACAUUCUCAAUCAAUUUCUUUGUCAUCCUUCUUUACUAUUUUUGGUAACUUGUUCUUUCGAGCUAUGCUCAGAACCAACUUUAUUCUUAUCCAUUGUUAUGACCCUUUUUACAAGCAUGUUGCAUUGAAAUUAUGAUUAAUGGACUAAUAAAAUUUUCACAAAGGAAGUUUUGCAUAUUACUUUGAAUAGCUUCUAAAUAAUAUAGGAACUUGAAAUAGGACUAUUGCUUAGAACGCACCAGAUUUAAAGGUUGGAAAUUUGAGAAGGAAGAGUCUAAAUUUGGACUUUCUCUUUUGAUUUUGUUGUCAAAUGCAUUGAUUGAACAAAAUGACAAAGAUGUUAUAUUAAAGAUAAGGCUUAAAUAAACGAGCAAGCAUUGAUCAUCAGGCAAGAGGAAGAGGUUACCUCGGAGAAGAGAGCCUUCAUCUGUACAUAAGUCUUUGGUGCGACACCUUGAGAAUGGUGUAAGAAACUAGAACGAUUUAGAUCAUAUAUCCUUGAAUUGUGAUAAGAGAGGAUUGAGGAAAAACCACUUAUUUCUACCCUUGGAUUGUAGUGGGAGAAUGAUGGCACAAAUUGUGCACCCUAAUGGAUUAAACUUUAAGGUUUACAGUGGGGGGCAACCUGGCUAAAUGUUUUUUAGAAAAGUCGGUCAAGCGAGAAGGCGUUGUAGCACGUCAGUGUUAAAGCCUUGAUAAAUUUCGAGUAAUGACAACCUAAGUAGGAUCAUUCUCGAAAAAAAUAAAACCCUGCAUUCAUGCAAACACUAUUCACAUGUCUAGUUAGGAGCAUUUGAUUCAUUUUGAUCAUGCCAUCCUAAUCAUUAGGCAUAAUUAGGUUCAUUAUACAUGUCAUGUUCCCCAGAGAACAGAUCUGGGAAAUUAUAGAUCUUGUCUCCCUAAGUAAUAGCGGAGUAGAUCAAAGACAGCAAAUCUUAUCUCCCUGAUGUUACAGUGGAGCAGAUUAAAACCAGAAAUCUUAUCUCCCUGAGAUUACAGCAGAACAGAUUGAAGCUAAUAAUCUUAUCUCCCGGAGAUUACAGUGGAGCGGAUUAAAGUAAAGGAUCUUAUCUCUCUGAAGUUACAGUAGUGUAGAUCGCAUCAGAUUGAAGCCAGAAAUCUUAUCUUCCUGAGAUUACAGCGGAGCAGAUUAAAGCUAGUGAUCCUAUCUCCCUAAUAUUACAGUGGAGCGGAUUAAAAUAAAAGAUCUUAUCCCUGAAAUUACAGUGGAAUAGACCGCAGAAUUUUAUAUCUUAUCUCCCUGGCGAUGCAGUGGAACAGAUUAAAGCCACAACGGUGUAUCUUGCUUCCCCGACAUUGCAGUUAAAAAGACUAAAGCCACGGCGAUGAGUGUUACUUUCCUGGUGAAGUAGUGGAACAGAUUAAAGCCACAACGGUGAAUUUUGCUCCCCUGACAUUGCGGUUAAAAAUAUUAAAGCUACAGCAGCAAAUCUUACCUCCAAGGCAGUGCAGUGGACCAGAUUAAAGCCACGACGGUGAAUCUUGCCUCCUUGACAUUGCGGUUAAAAAAGACUAAAGCUACAACAGAAAAUCUUACCUCCCAAGCGGUGCAAUGGAGCAGAUUAAAGACACGACGGUGAAUCUUGCCUCCCUAACAUUGCGAUUAAAAAAGAUUAAAGCUAUAACAGCGAAUCUUACUUCCCUGGCGAUGGAGUGGAACAGAUUAAAGCCACAACGGUGAAUCUUACUCCCCUGACAUUGUGGUUAAAAAGAUUAAAGUUACAACAGUGAAUCUUACCUCCAAGGCAGUGUAGUGGACCAGAUUAAAGCCACGUCUGUGAAUCUUGUCUCCCUGACAUUGCGGUUAAAAAAAGAUUAAAGCUACAACAGCGAAUCUUACCUCCAAGGUAGUGCAGUGGACCAGAUUAAAGCCAUGACGGUGAAUCUUGCCUCUCUGACAUUGCGGUUAAAAAAAGAUUAAAGCUAUAACAGCGAAUCUUACCUCCCAGGUGGUGCAGUGGAGCAGAUUAAAGCCACGACGGUAAAUCUUGUUUCCUUGACAUUGCGGUUAAAAAAGAUUAAAGCUACAACAACGAAUUUUACCUCCCUGGCAAUGCAGUGGAGCAGAUUAAAGCCACAACGGCGUAUCUUGCUUCCCUGACAUUGCAGUUAACAAGACUAAAGCCACAGCGGCGAGUGUUACUUCCCUGGCAAUGCAGUGGAACAGAUUAAAGCCACAACGAUGAAUCUUGCUCCCCUAACAUUGCGGUUAAAAAGAUUAAAGCUACAGCAGUGAAUCUUACCUCCAAGGUAGUACAGUGGACCAGAUUAAAGCCACGACGGUGAAUCUUGCCUCCUUGACAUUGCGGUUAAAAAAGAUUAUAGCUACUAUAGCGAAUCUUACCUCUCAGGCGGUGCAGUGGAGCAGAUUAAAGCCACGACGGUAAAUCUUGCCUCCCUGACAUUGCGGUUAAAAAAGAUUAAAGCUACAACAGCGAAUCUUACUUCCCUGGCGAUGCAAUGGAACAGAUUAAAGCCACAACGGUGAAUCUUGCUCCACUGACAUUGCGGUUAAAAAGAUUAAAGCUACAUCAGCGAAUCUUACCUCCAAGGCAGUGCAGUGGACCAGAUUAAAGCCACAACGUUGAAUCUUUCCUCCUUGACAUUGCGGUUAAAAUAGAUUAAAGCUACAACAGCAAAUCUUAUCUCCCAGGUGGUGCAGUGGAGCAGAUUAAAGCCACGACGGUGAAUCUUACCUCCCUGACAUUGCGGUUAAAAAAGAUUUAAGCUAUAACAGCGAAUCUUACUUCCCUGGCGAUGCAGUAGAACAGAUUAAAGCCACAACGGUGAAUCUUGCUCCCCUGACAGUGCGGUUAAAAAGAUUAAAGCUACAGCAGCGAAUCUUACCUCCAAGGCAGUGCAGUGGACUAGAUUAAAGCCACAACGAUGAAUCUAGCCUCCCUGACAUUUACGUUAAAAAAAGAUAAAAGCUACAACAACGAAUCUUACCUCUAAGGUAAUGCAGUGAGUAGAUUAAAGCCACGACGGUGAAUCUUGCCUCCCUGACAUUGCGGUUAAAAAAAGAUUAAAGCUACAACAGCGAAUAUUAUCUCCAAGGCGGUGCAGUGGAGCAGAUUAAAGCCACGACGGUGAAUCUUGCCUCCCUGAUAUUGCGGUUAAAAAAGAUUAAAGCUACAACAGCGAAUCUUACCUCCCUGGCGAUGCAGUGGAGCAGAUUAAAGCCACAACGCGUAUAUUGCUUCCCCGACAUUGCAGUUAAAAAGAUUAAAGCCACAGCGGCGAGUGUUACUUCCCUGGCGAUGCAGUGGAAUAGAUUAAAGCCACAACGGUAAAUCUUACUCCACUGACAUUGCGGUUAAAAAGAUUAAAGCUACAGCAGCGAAUCUUACCUCCAAGGCAGUACAGUAGACCAGAUUAAAGCCACGACGGUGAAUCGUGCCUCCCUGACAAAUCGGUUAAAAAAAGAUUAAAGCUACAACAGUGAAUCUUACCUCCCAAGCGGUGCAGUGGAGCAGAUUAAAGCUACGACGGUGAAUCUUGCCUCCUUGUCAUUGCGGUUAAAAAAGAUUAAAGCUACAACAGUGAAUCUUACCUCCCUGGCAAUGCAGUGGAAUAGAUUAAAGCCACAACGACGUAUCUUACUUCCCCGACAUUGCAGUUAACAAAACUAAAGCCACAACAGCGAGUGUUACUUCCCUGGUGAUGCAGUGGAACAGAUUAAAGUCACAACGGUGAAUCUUGCUCCCCUGACAUUACGGUUAAAAAGAUUAAAGCUACAGCAGCUAAUCUUACCUCCAAGACAGUGCAGUGGAGCAGAUUAAAGCCACGACGGUUAACCUUGCCUCCCUGACAUUGCGGUUAAAAAAAGAUUAAAGCUACAACAGCGAAUCUUACCUCCUAGGUGGUGCAGUGGAGCAGAUUAAAGCCACAACGGUGAAUCUUGCCUCCCUGACAUUGCGGUUAAAAAGAUUAAAGCUACAACAGUGAAUCUUACUUCCCUAGCGGUGCAGUGGAACAGAUUAAAGCCACACCGGUGAAUCUUGCUUCCUCGACAUUGCAGUUAAAAAAGAUUAAAGCCACAAUGGCGAAUCUUACUUUCCAAAAGUUACAAGCUACGAAUCCUAUCUCCCCGAUGUUGCAGUGGAGUGGAUCGAAGCAAUUCUUAUACCUCAGAAGAUGCAGUAGGAUGGGAUGAGACAACUUGAAGAAGAAAAGCACCAGAGUCCAGCACGACCUGGCAAAAUUGGCCUUUUUUUUAGUCUUUGCUUCAUUUUCGUUACACGACAAUAAGCAAAGAGGGGCAGCGGUAAUAGGCCAAUUUUCCCGGCCCGUAAACCAAAUCAAAAUAUAAACCAAUUAAAAAUUAAUAACAGUCUAGAAAUAGUCUAUAUUCCUAGGCCCAAAUUGUUUUUAACCUACUAGCCUAGCCCAAUUUGCUCAAUCCAGUUAGCCUAACACUUAACCCGGGCCCAAGGCACAACGCAGCCCAAAAUAAAAAUCAGAAGCAGAAAACCCUAGAAAACCUUAGGCGUCGCAUGACUGCACAGCCAGCACGCUCCCUUCUCGUGCGUGCGCCACCACACCUUCGAGCCGCUCCUCACACGCGUCUCUGUAUGAUCAUGUACCUGCAAAGGACAAAAGAAACGAGCAACAAAACAGAGAAAAUGGGCAAUAGAGGGGAUGGGGAGAGGAUUUUUCUUUUUCUUUUCUUUUUUUAUUUUCUUUGUAAUGCUGGCCAUAAAAAAGGGCCAUUUGAAUAUUGUAAAGGACCACACAUUCAGAAUAGAAAAAAAGGUGAUUUUGAAUCCCGCUUUCGCUAGUUUCUGUUUUCUUUUUAUUUUCCUUCGUUCUUCUUCUUUACUGUGGUUCGUUAAUAGUAUGAAACAAAAGGCA